AAGGGAUUAAGCAGAUUGCAGCAUUAUGCAGCAGGUCUGUCAGCAGGGCUCAGGUGGACCUACUCAGAAAGCCUGGUAGGUGCUCCAAAGGGCUAACACAUUCACAGUCCUUCUUCAAGAACGUGCAGACACUGGCCAAAGAACAAGAGAGUGCAUGCACACGUACAUGCUUGAGCAGGGGGAAGGAGUAGAAGAGAGAAG